AUGAAAAAAUUAUAAAAUAAUUUGUGGAAAAAAAAGACAAAUAUAUAUAGCUUGGAGUUCACUGUUCUUCGGCACAAGAUAACUGUCCUGGCACCUUUCUACUCGCAUCCCGACAACAGAUUUUCACAUCCUCGUUCCAUCGUCCCGAAAAAAAUGCGUGUUCCAUGACCGAGUUCUUUUGACGUUCUUGUUGUAGGGCAUCCAACGUGUUUGCAAUUCACUGCAAAUAUGAUCGUUUCUGUUCGCAAGUACAGGUGGCAAUGUAUCGAAUGCAAAUGUUGCUCCAUUUGCGGCACCUCUGACAACGAUGAUCAGUUGCUGUUCUGUGACGACUGUGAUCGUGGAUACCACAUGUAUUGUCUGGCUCCUCCUCUUGCGUCACCUCCGGAGGGCUCCUGGUCGUGCCGCUUGUGCUUAGCCGAAUUUCAUCGCCGUGAUUAAGUUCACUCUCUGGGAUAGUAUAUAGAUAUAUACAUAUAUAUAUAUAAGUCACGGAGCUAUCCUUGCUAUCGCUGUGGCAUACAACGUCUUGGUCGUCUUAUUAGGAGAAUUAGGAGAGUAUUCGCGAGAGCUCACUCGUACACCUAAGAUCUCUUCUUUUCGACUGAACUGGCAGCACUAGUUCAGAGUUUAUCUUUUUUACUCCACAUUGGAGGGAAAGAGAUAAACUCUGAACUAGUGCAGCCAGUUCAGUGAAAAAGAACAGAUAGUAUUAUAUAAUACAGACACCCCAAACUUUUGGAGGGGAAAGAAGAAAAAAAAAGGAAAGUUCAUUGAUCAUUAUUUAUUACAAAAUUUAUAUUGACAUAUUAUUAUCAGCUUCUUGUUACAUUAUGUUGAUGAUAAUAAUAAUAUAAUGACGAUAAUAAUUAGAGAAGAAUACAUUUAGCGUAAUCUGUCAUUAUCUCAGGCACUUGGUGAUCUCGACGAGAUAAAGAUGUAAGGAGACACAUAUUUAUAUAUAAUUUAAUCGAGAUAGUUUUUAGAAUAUAUAUAUAAGUGUAUAAAGAUACAACUCAUAUAUAAUUUGAUCGACUGUCAACAGAGUCCUGUAAGGAGAACGAACAGAGAGAUUAUUAAUUUUAAAGGCGAAGACGGAGUUCGAUUUACUGAUGAUCUUAGAUUUUACAUUCGUGUACCGAACAAAGUGUAUUUUUUGCUCAUUUUAUGAACUGACACAUACGUACACACACACACAUAUAUA